UAUGCCGAGCUAGCUCUCUGCAACUCUCACAUGGUCGCCCACUGAAGCUAAGCAGGGCUGUGCCCGGUCAGUACCUGGAUGGGAGACCACAUGGGAAAGCUAGGUUGCUGCCGGAA
rnacentral:rRNA from 1 species